UAGCUCAGUUGGUUAGAGCAUGGUGUUAAUAACAUCAAGGUUGUGGGUUUGAUCCCCAU
rnacentral:tRNA from 1 species